rnacentral:rRNA from 1 species
AUUGAACGCUGGCGGCAGGCCUAACACAUGCAAGUCGAGCGCGAAAACACUUCGGUGUGAGUAGAGCGGCGGACGGGUGAGUAAUGCUUGGGAAUCUGCCCAGUAGUGGGGGAUAACGUGUGGAAACGCACGCUAAUACCGCAUACGUCCUACGGGAGAAAGCAGGGGAUCUUCGGACCUUGCGCUAUUGGAUGAGCCCAAGUCAGAUUAGCUAGUUGGUGAGGUAAUGGCUCACCAAGGCGACGAUCUGUAGCUGGUCUGAGAGGAUGAUCAGCCACACUGGGACUGAGACACGGCCCAGACUCCUACGGGAGGCAGCAGUGGGGAAUAUUGCACAAUGGGCGAAAGCCUGAUGCAGCCAUGCCGCGUGUGUGAAGAAGGCUCUAGGGUUGUAAAGCACUUUCAGUGGGGAGGAAAAGUUUAAGAUUAAUACUCUUGAACCUUGACGUUACCUGCAGAAGAAGCACCGGCAAACUCCGUGCCAGCAGCCGCGGUAAUACGGAGGGUGCGAGCGUUAAUCGGAAUUACUGGGCGUAAAGCGCGCGUAGGUGGUUUGAUAAGCUAGCUGUGAAAGCCCCGGGCUCAACCUGGGAACUGCAGUUAGAACUGUCUGGCUAGAGUAUAGUAGAGGGUGGCGGAAUUUCCUGUGUAGCGGUGAAAUGCGUAGAUAUAGGAAGGAACAUCAGUGGCGAAGGCGGCCACCUGGACUAAUA